AGUGAACGCUGGCGGUAGGCCUAACACAUGCGAGUCGAACGGCAGCACAGUAAGAGCUUGCUCUUACGGGUGGCGAGUGGCGGACGGGUGAGGAAUACAUCGGAAUCUACUUUUUCGUGGGGGAUAACGUAGGGAAACUUACGCUAAUACCGCAUACGACCUACGGGUGAAAGCAGGGGAUCUUCGGACCUUGCGCGAUUGAAUGAGCCGAUGUCGGAUUAGCUAGUUGGCGGGGUAAAGGCCCACCAAGGCGACGAUCCGUAGCUGGUCUGAGAGGAUGAUCAGCCACACUGGAACUGAGACACGGUCCAGACUCCUACGGGAGGCAGCAGUUGGGAAUAUUGGACAAUGGGCGCAAGCCUGAUCCAGCCAUACCGCGUGGGUGAAGAAGGCCUUCGGGUUGGAAAGCCCUUUUGUUGGGAAAGAAAAGCAGCAGGUUAAUACCCCGCUGUUCUGACGGUACCCAAAGAAUAAGCACCGGCUAACUUCGUG
rnacentral:rRNA from 1 species